CCCUAGUAUAAAAGUUAAUUUAAAAUUAUUAUAAAGUAGAAAUUUAAAAUUUUUGGCGGUAGAUUAUUUUGUUAGAGGAGCUUGUUGUCUAGAAAUUACUCUUUAGAUCUUAUUAAUAUAAGUUUAUUUAUUUCCGUUAUAAGGUGUUAAGCUUAAUAAGUUAAUUCUUUUAUUUCAGGUCAAGAUGUAGCAAUUAUUAAUUAAAAUUAGCUACAUUAAAAAUUUUAUGGAAUGAUAUAGGGAAAAAUCAUGAAAUUGAAUUUAAUUGUAAUUUAAUUUAAAAUGAUUAGAUGAAUUUAAUAUAUUCUAUGUA
rnacentral:rRNA from 1 species